UACGUAGGGGGCAAGCGCUGUCCGGAUUUAUUGGGCGUAAAGCGCGUGUAGGCGGCCAGAUAGGUCUGCUGUGAAAACUCGAGGCUCAACCUCGAGCUGUCGGCGGAAACCAUCUGGCUAGAGUCCGGAAGAGGAGAGUGGAAUUCCUGGUGUAGCGGUGAAAUGCGCAGAUAUCAGGAAGAACACCUAUGGCGAAGGCAGCUCUCUGGGACGGUACUGACGCUGAGACGCGAAAGCGUGGGGAGCGAACAGG
rnacentral:rRNA from 1 species